rnacentral:lncRNA from 1 species
UCUGCUUCCUUGACCUUCAGCUUGGUCUCCCACUCAGCAAUGAGGACUCGGACUCUGUCGUCCCUCUGAUCUCUGACAAGUAUUUGCCUUCUCUUCUCAUCUUCGAUGACUUUUGACGCUCUGAACAGCUUAUCCUUAGUGAUAUCGUGCUCCCGGUUGGAUGAUGCUAAAGCUUGGCUGAUCUUCCCAUAAUAGGCUGUAUCCAUCUCAAAGCGUUUGGCUUCCAAGGCAUGUCGCUUGUCUUGAUCUUCCA